rnacentral:lncRNA from 1 species
AUGCCCCAACCAACAGUCUCAGGUGACAGGCCAAGGAAAGAGACUGAAGGACUUUCCAGGUCAGCUCUUGAAGGGGGACAGCAGGAAGACACAGACUUUGUUCUGGGCAUGAUUAACAAGGAGGCACUGGUGGGGUUGAUAAUUCAGGCAUGUGAGCAGCAGAAGUUCAUUUCUAUCUGCCGACCCUACCUUAAGGCUUGGUUUAGUCUACCCAUGUUUCUCUGCAAAAGCAGAAUCAUCACAUCAUCUAAGUUGCAAAAGACCAUCAAGUUCAUUAUAGUCCAGUCAUCAACCUGA